AAUCCUGGACGCCAAAUAUGAUGAAUCUCAGAAUACACAUACAAGAGUGUCUACAUAAGACAGGCUUGGGCAGCCUCAUAGUCUAUAACUUUAGAAAAUGAAAUCAUGUUGGUGACUUUGAAAAUAUUUUAAAUUAGCUUAGGAAGCUGCUAGUCUCAGCUCUCAAGUAUUGAAGAUCUACAGGGUAUCGAAUGAAAGAUUUUACAGUGAUCGAGCUAUUGAAUGCGUGCUCUAGACUAGAGAUGCAUCGUGUUCUUGAAAUGACUUGCAGAACCUGCAAAAAUCGUAUUCUUCAAAAUCCAAGAACCUGAAUAUGAUGAAUCACAUAUAGAAGAGUGUAUAGAUGACGACUUGGAU